AUAUAUCAUCCACGUUUUUAUUUUUUUAUAGUGUGUGCUUAUUUAUUUUCACAUAUUAAAAAUACUUACUAUAAGUAGAAGUUUUCAUCAAAAAAAGUUAUAAACACAAGGAUUUUACUAUUAUUUAGGUAAUGACGACUUGGGAAGAGUAUGUUCAAUUCAAUGAUCAACCGAAUUAUGAGACAAAUAAUGCUCAUACAAACGCAUGUGAAGAUUGUGAAGUGUAUUUUCGAUUCAACAAUCAAACGAAUUAUAAAGUAUUUUUUAUAUAAGCACUUUUAUUUUUAAAAUUGUUUUUUAGAUGUUGUAAAUUGUAACGUGUGUUUUGUGUAGAUGAAUAAUGUUGAUACAAACGUAAAUGGAGGCGAUAGAAAUGAAAACGAGAAAUAACGUAGAUACUUCAUCAAUGACUCAAGUUUUCAAACUAAUAUGAUAUAAAAUUUCAGUUCA